GGCCGGUCGGGUGCGGUCGGACCGGGCCGGUUCGGCCCAAAGUGGCCGGGAUGGUCCGGUUUACCCUUUUUUUUUUCUUUUAGACCUUUUCUUUUUCUGUUUUUCUCAUUUAUUUGAUAUCUUUUGAGUUUGAUCCCCAAAUUGGUCCAAAUAAAUUUCAAAAAAUUUGUAGAAUCAUGUUCUACCAAGAUACAACUUUUGGAAGUAGUUUCCCCUCAAAAUAAAAUAUAUAAAAAUAUAUUUGCCCUAUAAAUGCCUUUAGGGCUAUAUAUCUAUUUGAAUAAAAUACUUUUUCAACUCCAAAUAAUUAACCAAAAAUUAUGGGAUAGCUUAUAUAUGCAUUA
rnacentral:lncRNA from 1 species